GAUGAACGCUGGCGGCGUGCCUAAUACAUGCAAGUCGAGCGAACAGACGAGGAGCUUGCUCCUCUGACGUUAGCGGCGGACGGGUGAGUAACACGUGGAUAACCUACCUAUAAGACUGGGAUAACUUCGGGAAACCGGAGCUAAUACCGGAUAACAUGUUGAACCGCAUGGUUCAACAGUGAAAGACGGUCUUGCUGUCACUUAUAGAUGGAUCCGCGCCGCAUUAGCUAGUUGGUAAGGUAACGGCUUACCAAGGCAACGAUGCGUAGCCGACCUGAGAGGGUGAUCGGCCACACUGGAACGGAGACACGGUCCAGACGCCUACGGGAGGCAGCAGUAGGGAAUCUUCCGCAAUGGGCGAAAGCCUGACGGAGCAACGCCGCGUGAGUGAAGAAGGUCUUCGGAUCGUAAAACUCUGUUAUGAGGGAAGAACAAAUGUGUAAGUAACUAUGCACGUCUUGACGGUACCUAAUCAGAAAGCCACGGCUAACUACGUG
rnacentral:rRNA from 1 species